rnacentral:rRNA from 1 species
GACGGGGGAUGCAAGCGUUAUCCGGAAUCACUGGGCGUAAAGCGUCUGUAGGUGGUGAUGCAAGUCACUGGUGCAAAACUCUGGCUCAACCGGAGGAAAGCCAGUGAAACUGCAUGACUAGAGAGUGGGAGAGGUAGAAGGAAUUCCCUGAGUAGCGGUGAAAUGCGUAGAUACAGGGAAGAACACCGGAGGCGAAAGCGUUCUACUGGAACCCAACUGAAACUGGGAGACGAAAGCUAGGGGAGCGAAUGGG